UACGGAGGGUGCGAGCGUUGUUCGGAAUUACUGGGCGUAAAGCGCGUGUAGGCGGGCUAUUAAGUCGGUUGUGAAAGCCCAGAGCUCAACUUUGGAAUUGCAGUCGAAACUAGUAGUCUUGAAUGCCUGAGAGGAUGGCGGAAUUCCUGGUGUAGAAGUGAAAUUCGUAGAUAUCAGGAGGAACACCGGAGGCGAAGGCG
rnacentral:rRNA from 1 species